rnacentral:lncRNA from 10 species
UUACCUGUGUGUGUGUGUUUGUGCGUGUGGAGUUUGCCUCUCUGAGCUUUAGUUUCCUUCGCUGGCAAAUCUGUAAACGUUCUGGGUCUGCCUGAGGUACGGCACAGAUAGGACGGUAGUGCAAGGAUGCCCAAACCCCUAGGAACAUUCUCUCCGUGUUUUAUGGUUUCCUUAUUGUAAAUCCACUUUCCCAAUGUAGAAUUUAAAACAAAACAAACUUGGGGAUUACAAAUCAACAAGAGAUUUGGGAGGGGACACAUACCCAAACUAUAUCAGACUGUUUAAGAAAAUGGUCUAUGUUUUAGAGAUACAUUUGGAAAUAUUUAGGGGGGAUAUACCUGCAAUUCACUUUAAAAUAUUUCAGCUUAAAAUAUAUAGUCAAUUUACAGGUUAAGAUGCAAUUGUGAGAAACUGCAAGUUAGAAAUACUAUGAGUUUAAGCAAUUAUCUUAUGAAAGUAAUUACAACUGCCUGAGUUCAUGCUGCUAAUAGCUCCAUGUCACGUUAUCUAUGUUAUGUGUAACAGGUCAAAUUGUUCAUAACUUUGUCAUUCAAAGAGCUGUAGAGGUGUGAGCAAAAUCAGUGUAUUCAGUCAAAAUGGUGUUCAUGACAAGGGGAGCCCCUUGGAUGUCUGAGGCCAUGCAUGUGCAAUUAUUGGGGAGUCUGAGAGUUAUCUGAGGGGGGAGGGGGUUCAAAUGCCUGAGGAGUGACUGUGGGAUGAUAUGCAAACAGUACUUGGCAAUGACCAAGACCACAUACUUGCAAAGCUCACUCCCAUGAAGACCAACUCAAAGACCAAAACCAUACUCCAGGCUAUGCUAGAAAUUUAGAAGCCAGAACCAAGGGAAAGCUGGCAAGAUGAGCCCAGAGGAAGGACUCUGCAAAGAUGAGGAGCCCAGAGGGAGAUGUCUAGGACAGGCUCCACACAAAACCAUGCUGUAGGCAUGCUGUGGUCCUCCUUUCUCAUGGCUUGUGUGACAUCCGUCCAGUUAGUAUCAGAGUUAUAAAAACCGACUCUGCAGCUUCAGGGUGGUCACACUGCAGUAAAGCAGUGAGUGUGUGUGUAUGUGAGUGUGUGUGUAUGUGAGGGUGUGUGUAUGUGAGUGUGUGUGUAUGUGAGGGUGUGUGUAUGUGAGUGUGUGUAUGUGAGGGUGUGUGUAUGUGAGUGUGUGUGUAUGUGAGGGUGUGUGUAUGUGAGGGUGUGUGUAUGUGAGUGUGUGUGUAUGUGAGGGUGUGUGUAUGUGAGGGUGUGUGUAUGUGAGGGUGUGUAUGUGAGGGUGUGUGUAUGUGAGGGUGUGUGUAUGUGAGGGUGUGUGUAUGUGAGUGUGUGUGUAUGUGAGGGUGUGUGUAUGUGAGGGUGUGUGUAUGUGAGGGUGUGUGUAUGUGAGGGUGUGUGUAUGUGAGGGUGUGUGUAUGUGAGGGUGUGUGUAUGUGAGGGUGUGUGUAUGUGAGUGUGUGUGUAUGUGAGGGUGUGUGUUUGCCACAGGGUCUGGCCCACGGCACACUGGAGGGAGACCCUGAAGAGGAAGGAAUGCUCAUAUUAGUGAAAACUGAGAGCUGACAACCUAAAGAUGGGAUAGUAAACUUAACUUACUUAAAGCAGACCAAUGUGGACAUAUAGUUUCAGGGUAGAUAGUGUUCUACAUCUCAUUGGUCAUGGAGGCAUCACUGUGUUACUCUUUGUCAUCAAGAAUAGAUUAAAAUAGGCUGGGCACCUAUAGACGUGGCUCACGCCUGUAAUCCAAGCACUUUGGGAGGCUGAGGAGGGUGGAUUAUUUGAGAUCAGGAGCUCAAGACCAACAUGGCCAACAUGGCCAACAUGAUGAGACCCCCGUCUAUACUAAAAAUACAAAAAGUAGCCAGGUAUGGCAGCACGCACCUGUGAUCCCAGCUACUCGGGAGGCUGAGGUAGGAGAAUCACUUGAACCCAGGAGGCAGAGUUUGCAGUGAGCUGAGAUUGUGCUACUCCACUCCAGGUUGGGCAUCAGAGCGAGACUCCGUCUCAAAAAAAAAAAAAAAAAGAAUCCAUUAUAAUAGCCUUUAUUUAGGGAAACAGGGAAUUAUGCGCCAGUUUUUGAGUCAUCAAACAUUAUUAACAUUCGUUAAAGUUUUGUUUUCAGUGUCAUUUAUGAGACAAUGCUACAAAUGUUUCAUGUACAAAUGCCACAUAACUGAAAGUGACUGCAUUAAGUAGCCUGGACAAAUUUAUUCCCAACACACAAGUGAUGGAAACCAAUACUCACAGUGGAAGGGCUCCUAGAGACCAAUUUAUUCAAAUAUUCUCCUAUCAUAGGAAGAAAACAUGAGGACUGGAGACGGAAAAAGACUUGCCAUGCACACAAGUUACAUGAAAGAUUAAACCAAGGCUGUUCUCCGAUCCCCUCUCCUCUAGCUCAAAUCACAUCCAGGGGCUCAACUUCUCACAAAACUAUGUGAAUUUAUACAAUCAAAUUGGAUUCCCCAAGAUACUUGUGCUGGCUAAACCUUCAUGGGACAAAGAAGCCUCAUAUGCUUAUUUCCUCAUCUGUAAUGU